rnacentral:rRNA from 1 species
UUUGGAGGUAGUGACAAUAAAUCACAAUGCGGGACUAUUAGUCUUGCAAUUGGAUUGAGAACAACGUACAACUCUUAUCGAUAAGCCAUUGGAGGGCAAGUCUGGUGCCAGCAGCCGCGGUAAUUCCAGCUCCAAUAGCGUAUAUUAACGUUGUUGCAGUUAAAAAGCUCGUAGUUGAAGUGAGGGAGUGUGUGGUCAUGAGAGCUAGUCUCGAGUGUUCACAACCUCCCCCCUCCAAUCGGUGUAGUGGGGUAUUCAGUUAUUUCACUACUCCUUUGGUCGUUUACUGUGAGAAAAUUAGAGUGUUCAAAGCGGGCGUUUGUUUGAAUAGAUUAGCAUGGAAUAAUGAUUGAAGGCUUUCGUGUUCGAUUUGAUUGGUUUGUUCAUGGAAGCAAGGUUAAAAGGAACAGUUGGGGGUAUUCAUAUUCACUAGUUAGAGGUGAAAUUCUCGGAUUUAUGGAAGAUGAACAAGUGCGAAAGCAA